GUUUCCCUGUAGCAUUUCUCAGAGUAGGGAUUGUGGGCAGGGGAAUGCUACUUUGAGAGGAGAGGUACCCAAAAAACUUUCCUGACUAUCUUUAUUUCAGGACUCCCAGGGACAUCCCUGCAUUGUAGCAGACAAAGGACCAACUGAUCCUAGCAACACAGCAGCACUCCUGGAGCUCAGAUCAACGCAAUGCUCUGCAUUACCACAGACAGCUGGGGCAGAUGACUGAACCAAUCGAGCAUUUUUUAUUCUUCUGUGAACUUCCAAGUUUUGAGCAAAAAUAAACUUUCUUCCUUCUCAAGUGGCAUUUCUAAGGUAUUUUUGUUAAAGUAAUGAAAAACUAACUUAUAUACUAGAAAUUCAAUCUGCAUUUGUCAAUGGUUACAUCCUAGUAAGACAUUGGCACUAGAUGAGGACUGUGUAUUUCAUUGUGUUUCACAUCUGGAAAAAUUAUUUGAGAAGGUCAAAUAAUUAUUAAAGAGAAUAUGUACUCUUUUAUAUGGUGGCAUUUACAUGAUUGAAUAAAACAGAAGAAAUGCAUUGAGCCUUGCA
rnacentral:lncRNA from 1 species